rnacentral:lncRNA from 1 species
AUGAUAGAUUAUAUGAUAGUGACAAAUAAUCUAAUACAUAGGGACGAUUAUAAAAAAGGAGUAGUAUACAUAAAAAACUCCUUGUUGUACCGUUGUAGAGAAAAAAGAAAUUAUAUUAUGAAAAAUUUGUUUCUUAUAAAAACAAGUUUUAUAAAAUUUUACAUGCAAUAUGAAAAACGACAGAAGAAAAUAGAUGAGGAACUAGCUGAAAAUAGAGCCAAAAAAGUAGAUAUAAGGUACAAAAUUAAUACUAAAAGUGGGAAUAUAAGUGAGGACAAAAAUGAGGACAAAAAUGAGGACAAAAAUGAGGGUAAAAAGGAGGACAAAAAUGAAAACAUAUUUAUCCAUGCAAUUUUAAAAAGAAUUAAAUUUAUGAUUUACUUUACUGAUGUAUUAAAUGUAUUGAUAUUUAAAAUGUGUAAUAAUGAGAUUAAUAAUAUAAAAGAUAAUUGUAAAGAAUUAUUAAAUUGCUUAAGUGAUAUAAAAAAUGACAUACAAGUUUCUAUCGUAAAAUACGAUAAAAUAAUUAUACAAAAAUAUUUCAAUAAAUAUUUUUUAAUGUAUAAACUUAAUAAUGUAUCUAAACAUAUUACAAAAUUGAAAAUCAAUGAAAGUUACUUGUUUUAUGAAAAUAUUAUUUAUGAUUUAAAGUCCAUAGAAACAUAUUUUAAAUUAAUAAAUGUAAAAUCCAGUUUUUUUGAUAUAAUAAAUAUCCUACAUUUUAUAAAAUAUUAUGGUAAUAACACUAAUAAUAUUUUUAUAAAAUGUAUAGUAAGGUUAGUUUUAAUUCAAUUAAUGAACAAAGAACAAUCUGUUUUUUAUGAAUUUGAAGAUAACAUCAUAUUCAAAUAUAUCACAAAGUUUAAUAUGUCAUAUGUGAACAAUCGUUCAGAAAAAAAGAAAGCUGUUAGCGAUAAAUUAAAAGAGGAAGGGAAAAUUGGUUUACAUGUGGGACGUAAUAAUAGUUCUUUGUGCGAUAAGGAGACUAAAUGUAUCGCACAGGUGGUACAAGAAAGGGAUUUUAACUGCCAUCAUAACAAUAAUGCGAACGACAAUAAAAAAGAAAUUAGUGAAAAUCAAAAAGAAAUUAACGACAAUCAAAAAGAAGUUAACGACAAUAAGAAAGAAAUUAGCGAAAAUCAAAAAGAANNNNNNNNNNAAAUUAGCGAAAAUCAAAAAGAAAUUAGUGAAGAUAAAAAAAAAAUUAGCGAAGAUAAAAAAGAAAUUAGUGAAGAUAAAAAAGAAAUUAGCGAAGAUAAAAAAGAAAUUAGCGAAGAUAAAAAAGAAAUUAGCGAAAAUGAAAAAGAAAUUAGUGAAAAUGAAAAAGAAAUUAGCGAAAAUCAAAAAGAAAUUAGUGAAAAUCAAAAAGAAAUUAGUGAAAAUGAAAAAGAAACUAGUGAAAAUGAAAAAGAAACUAGUGAAAAUGAAAAAGAAACUAGCGACAAUAACAACAGUGGAGAUAACUUAUUUAUUGAUAACUACGUAGAAGAUUAUUACGAUAUAUUUUUAAAAAUAAAUAAAAAAGGGGAAAGUGGAAAUAAUGACAGUUAUGAUAUUUUACAUAAUAAUCUUGGUAAUAAUAUUAAAGAUAAUUUAUUUAUUCGUUUUUUUUUAAAUUUAUUUUUUAAUGAAUCUUAUAUGAUACAAGAUAGUUUAUUAAAAGAGGAUGCGAACAUGUUUGUUAGAAAUGUUAUUUAUAAUGAUUUAGUUUAUUUUGGAUUUUCUAGCGAAUUACUUCUUUUAUUUAUGAACUUUUCAUAUAUACCAGAUAUAUUUUUUAAAACUAUUGAUCAGACACAAUAUAUAGAACACCUGAAUUAUAAGAAUUCUGAAAAUUUUGAUAAAUUUUUAAAAGAAAAUUUCAGAGAAGUAAAUAUUAAAAAUAUGGAAAGAAAAUUACGAUCACAUUUUCCAUAUAUAACAAGUUCGUUAAAAAAUGAAAAAUCUAUUAUAACCUUAUAUUUGGAUAUAGAGGAUUUUAUAAUUAAUUUUGUAAAUGAAUGUUGUAACAGUAAUAGUUUUAGUAAUAGUGUUGAGAAGACCGUGUUAAGACAAGAUAAUAUCGAUGAUAGUAACAGCAGUAAUACUAAAAAUAUUAGCAAAAACAAUAGUAAUGACAAUCCCAAAAGGUGCGAUAUCGAUGAUUACAGUAAUGGAAAACUUAAUCAUAAAAAAAGGUAUGAUUGCAAAAAGAACAAAGUCGAACAUGAUACUAUGAAAACAGUAACGAUAAACAGAAUGAAAUUAUUAAUAGUAUGUAAAGUGUUCCACUUAUUUUUAUAUUAUUUAGAGAUAAUUAUAAAAAAAAUUAUAAGUUAUUCAUGUUUAUUAGCAUCAAGAGAAUAUUCAGAAAUAAAAAAAAUUCAUUGUGAUUUGCAUAUAGUAUACACAUUAAUGACUAUCCUUACAUUUUAUUUUAAGAUAUAUAACAUGCAUAAAGAAAUAGAAAGUAUAGAAUGUUAUUUUAAUUGUAUUUUACAUACGGUAUUACUUGAUUAUAGCUGCUUAAGUAUAUAUACAAAUUUACAAACUAGUCAAGAAUAUGCAUUCACCUAUUAUGUUAUGUCAAUAUGUUAUCAAAAGUUAUCAAGCAUAUUACAAAACAGGUUUAAAUUAGAUAAUAAAGAGGAUAUAAAUAAAUAUAUAUAUUCAUUAUAUUAUUUUAUAUUAUAUCAAUAUUCUGAUUUUCUUAUGAUAUAUUUUAUUUAUACUACUUAUACAAAUAGGAAUUUGCAACAAAUAGAAGAACAUUCGUUUGAAAUAAAAUACAUCCAGUGGGGUUUUUGUUAUUCUGGUUUAUCAAAACAACUUUUUUAUAAUUUUCAAAAAAAUAAAUAUUUAUUAAUUAGUAUUCUUUUAGCGAAAGUACUAAAAAUUUGUGAUAAUAAUGAAACUGAUAAAAAUGAUAAAAAUGGUGGAAAUGGUGGAAAUGAUGGGAAUGAUGGGAAUGAAAAAAGUAUAAUACAUAAUAAUGUAAAUAUAAAACAUAUAACAAAAGCUAAAGAAAAAUAUUUGAUUUCAAAAGAUUUGUGCGUUACAUAUUCCAAUUUAAUAAAAACGGAGAAAUAUAUGAGACCGCAUUUUAAUAUAUUCACAAGUGAACAUAUAGAUAAAGAUAUUCAUACAUAUUUUAAUGAAUGUAUACAAAAUAUAGAUAGACAUAUAAAAGAAGUAACUAGAUGCAAAUAUGAAAAAUUAGUUUUUAUUUAUAUCUUUCUUAAUGCUUGUGAACAUAAUCUGAAUAAUUAUUAUAAACAUAUUCCUCCGCUUUGCAUCGAAAAUGAUUCUAGUUGUUUUAACCAUCGUUAUGAGAUUAUUAGGGCACACUCGUUCUUUCUUAGUGUGCGAGAAAAGGAAAAGGAAUAA